AACUAAAUGAACGAAGUUCAUUUCUAUAAAUGUUUUUGGCGAACUGCCGCCGAAUGAAAUGAGGGGGCAAUACAA
rnacentral:sRNA from 1 species